AUGACGUCCAUGAUAGGUGUGGGAAAGGAAGACAGGAGGUGUGGGCAUGGUAAGGGCGGAAGUGACGUCACUUUCAACAAUACACCAUAUUAUAACUAUUAAAAUAAGUCAGAGAAGCAACAUUCCGUUCUGCAAAGUGAAAUACUAAACUAUGAACAGACCUGGCAGGUUAAAUAAGACAGUUGAGAACAUUAUGCAUUUA